AUGGCUCAGGAUGAACGCUGGCGGCGUGCCUAACACAUGCAAGUCGAGCGAUUACUUCGGUAAAGAGCGGCGGACGGGUGAGUAACGCGUGGGUAACCUGCCUCAUACACAUGGAUAACAUACCGAAAGGUAUGCUAAUACAGGAUAAUAUAAGAGAUUCACAUGGAUUUCUUAUCAAAGCUCCGGCGGUAUGAGAUGGACCCGCGUCUGAUUAGCUAGUUGGUAAGGUAAUGGCUUACCAAGGCGACGAUCAGUAGCCGACCUGAGAGGGUGAUCGGCCACAUUGGAACUGAGACACGGUCCAAACUCCUACGGGAGGCAGCAGUGGGGAAUAUUGCACAAUGGGCGAAAGCCUGAUGCAGCAACGCCGCGUGAGUGAUGAAGGCCUUCGGGUCGUAAAACUCUGUCCUCAAGGAAGAUAAUGACGGUACUUGAGGAGGAAGCCCCGGCUAACUACGUGCCAGCCGCCGC
rnacentral:rRNA from 1 species